rnacentral:rRNA from 1 species
UACGUAGGGUGCGAGCGUUGUCCGGAAUUAUUGGGCGUAAAGAGCUCGUAGGCGGCUUGUCGCGUCGACUGUGAAAACUCGGGGCUCAACUCCGAGCUUGCAGUCGAUACGGGCAGGCUAGAGUUCGGUAGGGGAGACUGGAAUUCCUGGUGUAGCGGUGAAAUGCGCAGAUAUCAGGAGGAACACCGAUGGCGAAGGCAGGUCUCUGGGCCGAUACUGACGCUGAGGAGCGAAAGCGUGGGGAGCGAACAGG